rnacentral:rRNA from 1 species
AGCCAGUAGAGGUGCUGCAUGGCUGUCGUCAGCUCGUGUCGUGAGAUGUUGGGUUAAGUCCCGCAACGAGCGCAACCCUUACCCUUAGUUGCCAGCGGGUAAUGCCGGGCACUCUAAGGGGGACCGCCCCGGGAUAACGGGGAGGAAGGCGGGGAUGACGUCAAGUCAGCAUGGCCUUUAUGUCCAGGGCUACACACGUGCUACAAUGGGCGAUACAGAGGGAAGCAAGUCCGCAAGGUAGAGCUAAUCCCUAAAGUCGUCCUCAGUUCGGAUUGCAGGCUGCAACUCGCCUGCAUGAAGUCGGAAUCGCUAGUAAUCGCGGAUCAGCUACGCCGCGGUGAAUACGUUCUCGGGCCUU